UGUCGGGGGGGGGGGGGUUAACGGAGAAAACGCCAACGUUUUGAGAACCGUCUUCGUCCUUGUACCUCCUCGCGAGUACCCUGAGGACAAAGAUGGUUCUCGAAACGCCGGUGUUUACUUCAUUAAACUGGCUUACGCAGCCAUUAGCCAGAGAAGAAUUCAUUAUAUUAAGUGCUUCGAAACUAUUUCUGAAUUUGGAUUCUUAAAUGAUUAAGCCUCGCAAAAAAAAUUGUUGGGGCAUUAAAUUACAAAUAUGUAGUAGAAAUUAUAUUUUUGUUUUAGAAGAUAAUUCUUUGUAGAAUGGAAACAGCAGUUUUUCUAGAGGCUUCGUCUUUUACUGUUAAGUAGUGAGUUUUGUGUUGCGGGUCGAAGGUUUGCCGGAAGGCAGUUCAUAAAAUCGUGUUACUGCGUCACAGUUAUUCUUAUGUUUUAAUAAUGAAGUACAGAUUUUUUCCUAUUUUCUACGAGUUUUGUUUGAAUGAAAGCGAACUCGCUACAGCCUUCAGGUACGAAAAGUCUGUGCUUACCGCCACCGUUUAAGCAUCAGUCAUCGGAUGUAGCGGUCCUAACUAGGAACACGCGAAAAAUAGAGAUUUACUAAUUGAUAUCUGUGCUCUGUGCAAUUCUUUGUUACCGCUGAUGUAAUAAAUCUUGUCACUGUGUCGGUUGACUGUCAAGAUAUUUUACGGAUUUUAAACGGAGCUUGAAUUAGUUACUUACGGGUAAGGGCAAGGGUGUAUUUACAGAAGUACUGAAACUAUUUUAGCAGAAAUACUUUAAAUUUGUCUUAGAAGAGGUGUCCGCUCUGAAUCUCCGUAAUUUUGCCACGUAUCCCGAAUGAGGGUUCUCGUGAUUUUUCAUUAAUUUCCAGAUGAAUGUUGGGAUAUUACCGCUGCCUCCUUGUUCAUUAUCGCCUUCCCAUUUAAUCUCCUCCGGUAUUACAUAAUGUGUGCAGUUGAAGUGUAAUUGAAUAACCUUACAAUUAAUUGGAACUAUUUAUCUGAUUAUAGCGUCAGCACAGCACGGCAGUUAUAAAUGUCUGGAAAAUAUUUUUAAUAAAUGAGCUUGUCAAAUUCAUUAUAGGCUUUCUGCACCGUCACCAAAUUUUAGUGUGAGCGCAGGCUGUAACAAGUGCGUUCAAUAUUUUUAGUUGUGAUGAAAGCGCCAUUUUAUUAUUUUCAAUAUAAUAGGCACUUUGCUUUCUGCGGCCGUGUAAUUUUACUGCAGCGAGCCCCUUGCCCCCGCCACUGUGAUACAGGUAGUGUUGUGUUAUGUUACCCCUAGCAACGGAAGCUUUCUGGUGUCCUUUGUCCCCCCCCCCCACCACUCAUGUGAUUCGUUACCUCCAUUGAGUGCAAUGUGUACACCUCACGUGAUGGGAUUUGAGGUUUUCGUGGCGGCGAGUCUGAAGACGGCUGUCUCUGGGUUGUUGCGCCAUGUAGUCUGCAAAAGACGUGAUGUUCGAGGAACUUAAGACAGCGUUCUGAAUGUAAGUGGCCAUUCUGCAGGCUGGUGGAAAGAGUUGGGAACAUCUGGUAGAAUUACAAAUACUGAUCUCCCGUCAAUACAGCAAUUAGUGUCUAAUGCAAGUACCCUGACUUAGGUUUCUCAUUUAUUUAUUAAUUUUCAUUAAAAGAAUGAGCCAUAGACCUGUUCCGCGACAGUCGCUCAAGGAAACUUGUCCUAUUAGUCUUUUAAGUGUACAUUUGUGAGUAGUUAGUGACCAACCCACUGCCUCUACACAGUUUCUACUCAGUCCUGAUUUUAACUGCCAGAGCCAUCUAGCAGUGAAUCAGGAGAGACUUGGGUGAGAAAUGGCCGCUUAAUUUUGAUUACGAAACAUCUCGUUCAUGCUCGUAAGGUUCUUUUACGUGCCGUAAAUCUACGACAUGGGACCGCUCCGAGGGAAAUUGUCGUGCUGUGGAUUGUUACCACCCUUAAAGAUCCAUCUACCUCGGCCAGGUUUGAACCUGCGAACCUUGGGUCCAGUGGCAAGCACGCUAACCUCUUUCUUGGUUGUGGGGCAUAUAACUAGGUACAAUUGAAAAGGGGCACUGCCCACAUUGCCCAAUUAUGGAGGCCUUCAGCCAAGGUUGUCCCAACCUUUUGGAUUCAGCUCCACAUCCAUGCAAUCAAAGUUCUUUUAAUAAGGGACAGACUGCCUGACGGGACUGUCGUCUCACCAGUAGCGAGAGCCCCUAGUCCAGAGGUUUUAUUUAUGUGACUUAAAUUUUAUACUUCCAAAAUGAUUUGCAAAGAUAAUGUUGCAGUAGUUGUGUUACUGUUCGACACACUUCUUGACUUUCAGAGGACAUUCUAAGCUAGUGUAUUCCAUAAUAAGCUAACGAUAUAACGUAUCUGUUACAAGGACUUCUCUUAGUUAUUCUGAGUGUGUGACUUCAUGAACAGUGCGCAUGGAAUAGCUUUUCUGACUCUGAGGCACUUGUGCUGACCAAGGGCUCUGUAGAGACACGUGGGAUACCGAGGAAGAUUUAUGCUCAGGCCAGUCGAGGCUGCCCCUAAAACCACGGUCGCAAGUCGGCACAAGUGACCUGACCAUUCGGUUACCCUGACUGAGGUUUUCCGUGCUUUUCCUCAGUUGUAAGGCAAAUAACAGAAUAAUUCCAAAGGGGCAAAGCCCACACUCCCGAAUCAUGGAGGCCUUCAGCUGAAGUGAUUUCCCCUCCUAAUCGCAGAUGUCAUCAACCAAUGCGAUCGCAACACUUCUGGAUUCAAAUCCCAGAGAGCCAUCUGACUCAAAUAUGUUAUCUAUAUGGUUAUUUGGUAAUAUUGCUUGAAUACUUUCUGUUCAAAUUAUUAUGUCAAGAAUUUUCCAAAUGUUAAGGCCGUUUUAUUUCAUUUCAAUACUUAAGUUUUGAAUUGUUUUUACAAUGUGUAAUGAUAAUAAUGUUAUUUAAUAAUAAUUGAAUAACUCGUAAUUUAUACAUUGUUAAUAAUCGUUCCUAGCAUUACUGAAUAAUUGUCUUCGUCUUGGUCAAAUUUGUGGUCUGCUCAGCUUCAGUUCAGCUCAGGCGCCAUUGUUCAUGUUCCUAAGUCAAACCUAACCUAACAACAACAAAAAAUACUUAAAGUCUGCUUGUGCAAUAAAUCGUAAAUUGUAGCCGCUCCUUAUAACUGGCAUCAGACCAAAAAUAUGUGCGUUUUACGACCUAGUCCUGUGUUCUUCAUAACUUAACGUUGACAAGUGUGGAACCUUGAACGUGGUAAAAUCUUGUUCUGGUCGUUAUUACGCGACAUUUUUUAAUCCUGUUGCCAAGGCCAGCAAAGAUAAGGAUUAGCAGGAACAUAAAUGUCUCUACCACAAAUAUAUAUGCAAAUUGUGUUUCGUAGCUUUUUUGUUCGUCUGAUUUUAUCAGAAUGAUGAGGUGGGCGGGACAUAUAGCACGCGUGAAAAAAUUCUAGAUAAGCAUAUGAAGAUUUAAUUUAAAAAUGCGAAGGGACAAGACGAUUUUGAAGACGGUCUUGUAUUGGGUGUCCUACGAUGCAGGCAGGUUAGAGAAAUGGGUCGUGACAACGUCUGGCACGGUUGUGACCGGUGGCGGGCUCUCGUGAACACGUAAUGAAACUUGUGCUUUCAUGGAAGACGGAAUGUCCUUGAAAGUGGAGUGAAUGUUUAUUGGCUGCUCAAACAAGGGCUCUGUCUUGGACUGAGGGAUGUUUGUCUUUAGAUAUUUUGCUGUGAGUAAACAUAAUUCAAAAGGAACAAUGAACAGUGGUGUUUACAUGCAAACCGUCGACACAAAUAUUGUUAUCACGUGCACUUUAUCAUCAUGGCUGACAGGAAGUAUGGAAGUCCGAUGAUCCUACGAAUGUAUUACCAAAUUCCAUACAAAAAAUUCCAUGAAGGAAACCGAUAUAAAAAAACUUCCUUCAGACAAAAUGUGGUGGAAAUUUGGAACAUCAGAACACAAGUUCAAAUAAAGGACGAAGGAAUGGAGAAAGUCUUACUGGAGAUAAAAACCACAAGAGUUGAAUCACGUCCGAACCAGAUCUGACCAGUUCUACUCCAGACUCUCAAAGAACUUCAUCUGAAUUAACACGCAGAGGAUCGAGAAGUGAAGUCUCUUACAGUCAGGAUGUUUGAUUAGCAGUUUGCGUCACUCAGCCUGGAAAUAGGAAGACAUCUUUGGG